AACGAACGCUGGCGGCAUGCCUAACACAUGCAAGUCGAACGAGACCUUCGGGUCUAGUGGCGCACGGGUGCGUAACGCGUGGGAACCUGCCCUUAGGUUCGGAAUAACUCCCCGAAAGGGGUGCUAAUACCGGAUAAUGUCUUCGGACCAAAGAUUUAUCGCCUUUGGAUGGGCCCGCGUUGGAUUAGCUAGUUGGUAGGGUAAAAGCCUACCAAGGCGACGAUCCAUAGCUGGUCUGAGAGGAUGAUCAGCCACACUGGGACUGAGACACGGCCCAGACUCCUACGGGAGGCAGCAGUGGGGAAUAUUGGACAAUGGGCGAAAGACUGAUCCAGCAAUGCCGAGUGAGUGAUGAAGGCCUUAGGGUUGUAAAGCUCUUUUACCCGGGAUGAUAUUGACAGUACCGGGAGAAUAAGCUCCGGCUAACUCCGUG
rnacentral:rRNA from 1 species